rnacentral:rRNA from 1 species
GACGUAGGGCGCGAGCGUUGUCCGGAUUUAUUGGGCGUAAAGAGCUCGUAGGCGGCUUGUCGCGUCGACUGUGAAAUCCCGCGGCUCAACUGCGGGUCUGCAGUCGAUACGGGCAGGCUAGAGUUCGGUAGGGGAGACUGGAAUUCCUGGUGUAGCGGUGAAAUGCGCAGAUAUCAGGAGGAACACCGGGUGGCGAAGGCGGGACUCUGGGCCGAUACUGACGCUGAGGAGCGAAAGCGUGGGGGAGCGAACAGG